CAGACCCGUGCGAUAGCACGGGUUUCCUACUAGUUAUAUAAAUAGCAUGAGCUCUAAAAAUUUGACACUUGGCAAACUUGCCAAAAAAACUCAUCUUUAUUUUUUUUAUUGUAUGAUUUUUUUAUUGUAUGAUUCAAUUAACCAAUUAAAAGAGAAGGUUAAUUAAAAGGGGAUUAGGUUUUGGUUAAUGUGUCGUUCCAGAUCCAAUUGGAAGGUUCUCCUCCUAUCUCUAUCCAGACGUACAAACGGCGGCCGGAGAAACCUUCAUCUCCGUCAGGAUUCCUUCACACUCUCCGCAAUUCAUCCUCUCAAAUCUCUCUCAUCUCUGAUUCAGCUUCGCUCGACUCCCAUCUCAAUCAAAUUCGUGAUCUCAUCUCUCGUCAAUAAUCAUUUCUAAUUGUGAACUCAUUAACAACGAUAUAAACAUGAAUCAAAGAAAGGAUAGCGACUUACCGGUUGGAGAUACUCCGACGGUGCUUCAACGACGCGAAUGGAAAGAAAAUACCAGAGGCUAAUCGUGCAGAUCGUUGCAAAGUGCGUUGCGAUUCAGAGAUAGCGCUGAGAGAUGAAGAUUCUUUUUUGGAAAUUUUGAAUGGAGGUUCAAUGGUGACGCGAUGAAGAUUAACGAAUCUUUGGUGAUUAUAUUGAAGGUAUGAGAUUCUUAUAACUUCGUGAAUCUGGUUUUUGAUUGUUGGUUUUUUGUUUGCAGAUUGAAGAAUGGAGAGAGAUGAAAGGAAUUGGAGAUUGAAGAGGUGAAGCGAGGAAUAUGAAGUUUAUGGUGAUUGGAGGUUAAGGAGAAUUUCGGUUGUGAGUUUUCAGAGAAAUUCAGAGAGUGAAGGUUGAUUGAUGGAGAGAAGUUAAUGUGAAGAGCUGAAAGUCUUAAGAUUGGGAAAAGAAUUUCGGUUAUGGUGAUUUUUUGUUGAGUGAAGAAUCGAAAGUUGGUUAUAAGAAGAAUGAUCCUCAACCUUUGAUCGUGGCCAGUUAGUUGCAAGCUGAAUGGCGAGAUCGGAAUUGUUCCAAGGC